GUACUCGUUUCAGCAGCACAUAUACUAAAACUGAAAUGAUACAGAGAUUAGCAUGGCCCCUGUGCAAGGAUGAUACACAAAUUCAUGAAGCAUCCGUGUUUUUG